rnacentral:rRNA from 1 species
GACAGAGGGUGCGAACGUUGUUCGGAAUUACUGGGCGUAAAGCGCGUGUAGGCGGCUUUGCAAGUCGGGUGUGAAAGCCCUCAGCUUAACUGAGGAAGUGCGCCCGAAACUGCUUGGCUUGAGUACCGGAGAGGAUGGCGGAAUUCCCCAAGUAGAGGUGAAAUUCGUAGAUAUGGGGAGGAACACCGGUGGCGAAGGCGGCCAUCUGGACGGAUACUGACGCUGAGACGCGAAAGCGUGGGUAGCAAACAGG